GCCUUCGUGGCCUAACGGAUAAGGCGUCGGCCUCCUAAGCCGACGAUUGCGGGUUCGAAUCCCGUCGUAGGUA
rnacentral:tRNA from 1 species